CCUACGGGAGGCAGCAGUGAGGAAUAUUGGUCAAUGGACGCGAGCCUGAACCAGCCAAGUAGCGUGAGGGAUGAAUGUUCUAUGGAUUGUAAACUUCUUUUAUAUGGGAAUAAAGUGUGGGACGUGUCGUAUUUUGUAUGUACCUUAUGAAUAAGGAUCGGCUAACUCCGUGCCAGCAGCCGCGGUAAUACGGAGGAUCCGAGCGUUAUCCGGAUUUAUUGGGUUUAAAGGGUGCGUAGGUGGCUUGUUAAGUCAGUGGUGAAAGUUUGUGGCUCAACCGUAGAAUUGCAGUUGAAACUGGGGGUCUUGAGUAUGUUUGAGGCAGGCGGAAUUCGUGGUGUAGCGGUGAAAUGCUUAGAUAUCACGAAGAACCCCGAUUGCGAAGGCAG
rnacentral:rRNA from 1 species